UUCUAUUAGAAAUAAUUAAUAGUAUAGUCUGCUCAAUGAAUAAUAAAUAUAAAUAGCCGCAAUAUUUGUGCUAAGGUAGCAUAAUCACUCGUUUCUUAAUUAGAAACUAGAACAAAAGACUGAACAUUUCAAAAAAUUUCUUAAAUUUAUCUCUUUAAUCUAUCUUAAAUGUAAUAAGACAUUUAUAAAAAAGAAAGACGACAAGACCCUAUUGAACUUAACUUUAGUUAAACUGGGGCAGUUAAUUAAUUAACAUUUUAAUUAAAAUAUUUAAAUAAUUGACCUAAUAUAAUUAAUAAUAUAAUCAAGUUACCAUAGGGAUAACAGCAUAAUAUAAAUUUAAAGUCCUCAUUUAAAUAAAUGAUUAUGACCUCGAUGUUGAAUAAUAUCCUUUAAUCACGCAAAAGUAAUAAAAGGAAGUCUGUUCGACUUUUAAACAAUUACA
rnacentral:rRNA from 1 species